AUCGCUUCUUGGCCUUUUGGCUAAGACCAGUGUAGUUAGUAUCUGUUCUUAUCCAUUUAAUAUCUGAUACAUCCUCUAUCUGAGGACAAUAUAUUAAAUGGAUUUUUAGAAGUCUGAAUUGGAACAGAAGCUUGCUCCAUCCACUCCACAAGUUGACCUGGUAUUGCAGUAUCUCCAGAAAUGGUACAACCCUU